AGAAAGCAAAGAUACGUAGUAGCGACGACGCUUUUGAAGCGAACAGAAAAAGGACGUGGGUUUCUUCGAACUAGCAUAUCAAUAAGCGGAGGAAAAGAAACCAACAGGGAUUGCCCUAGUAACGGCGAGUGAAGCGGCAACAGCUCAAAUUUGAAAUCUGGCUCUUUUAGAGUCCGAGUUGUAAUUUGCAGAGGGCGCUUUGGCUUUGGCAGCGGUCCAAGUUCCUUGGAACAGGACGUCACAGAGGGUGAGAAUCCCGUACGUGGUCGCUGGCUAUUGCCGUGUAAAGCCCCUUCGACGAGUCGAGUUGUUUGGGAAUGCAGCUCUAAAUGGGAGGUACAUUUCUUCUAAAGCUAAAUAUUGGCCAGAGACCGAUAGCGCACAAGUAGAGUGAUCGAAAGAUGAAAAGCACUUUGGAAAGAGAGUCAAACAGCACGUGAAAUUGUUGAAAGGGAAGCGCUUGCAGCCAGACUUGCUUGCAGUUGCUCAUCCGGGCUUUUGCCCGGUGCACUCUUCUGCAGGCAGGCCAGCAUCAGUUUGGGCGGUAGGAUAAAGGUCUCUGUCACGUACCUCUCUUCGGGGAGGCCUUAUAGGGGAGACGACAUACUACCAGCCUGGACUGAGGUCCGCGCAUCUGCUAGGAUGCUGGCGUAAUGGCUGUAAGCGGCCCGUCUUGAAACACGGACCAAGGAGUCUAACAUCUAUGCGAGUGUUUGGGUGUCAAGCCCGAGCGCGUAAUGAAAGUGAACGGAGGUAGGAACCCGCAAGGGUGCACUAUCGACCGAUCCUGAUGUCUUCGGAAGGAUUUGAGUAAGAGCAUGGCUGUUGGGACCCGAAAGAUGGUGAACUAUGCUUGAAUAGGGUGAAGCCAGAGGAAACUCUGGUGGAGGCUCGCAGCGGUUCUGACGUGCAAAUCGAUCGUCAAAUUUGGGCAUAGGGCGAAAGACUAAUCGAUCUUCUAUGCAA
rnacentral:rRNA from 1 species